AUUAAAGUGGCAGAAUAAGUGUAAGGAAUUUAAGCUUCCUUUAUGAAAUAAAGUUUCCUUUAAUA
rnacentral:tRNA from 1 species